GGGGCUGUAGCUCAGUGGUAGAGUGAUUGCCUAGCAUGCAUGAGGCACUGAGUUCGAUCCUCAGCACCA
rnacentral:tRNA from 1 species